ensembl:lncRNA
AUGUUUUCUUCAAGAGGCACUGAGCAACAUAGUUUCAUAUCUGGUAAAAGUGUCCAUAAUCAAAGGAUUGAAUGCAUUUGGUGUGAUGUCAGAAUCAAGGACUCAGACAUGCUGCACUUGCUGGAGGCCGAAGGACUGCUUGACUUAUUGAGGACCUGUUUAGUGUACAGUACACUUUUCUCUCAACCAUCCAGGCAGACUUGAACACAUUUGCAGAAGCCUGGACUCUUCAUGCACUCUCCUCAGAAGGCAGUCGAAGAUCAGAGCAGCUGUGGCACAUUGGACUGAUACACACAAAAUGUACUAAUCUGAGAGAUAUGGGGUAUGGAGACCCUGCUUUCUUUACUCUGUCUCCACACUGCUGUUUAUGCAUAUGUCCAAGUGGAUUUUUAACUAUGUAUUUAACUGCUAAAUCAUUAAGAUAUUGAAGAGCUAAAUUUAGAUGUUGACAUAGCAGCUUCUUAUGAUGCCUGUGAAGAUGUAUAUUUACAUUUAGUCAUUUAGCAGACACUUAUCCAAAGUGGCUUACAGAUAAGGACAAUGAAAGAAAUUUAAAUCAACAAAAGAGCAAUAAUACAUAAGUGCUAUAACAAGUCACAGUUAGGUUGAUGCAGUGCACAUAGCAAGUUUAAAAAUAUGUAUUAUAUAAUAAAAAGAAAACAGCUAGAAUAGAAAAAGAGUAG